AUUAACGCAGAACCUAUAGAAGAGGAAAACACUAUAAGUGAGUCAACAGACUAUGAUAGCAUGGGUGAUAACAACAUUCAAGAUACAUUCCAGACCAUGAUGAAGGGAGAAAGAGUUCAAGAGUGUCAAGGCCUCCCACUUGGAUGAGAGACUAUGUUACCACCAAACAAUCUAAAUAACCUGGAAGCAGCAAUUGCAUAUAUUCCAUCUCGGAUAACUUGUGUUAUGCCAAUCUUAGCAAGGCUUAUCAGUCAUAUUUGGAUGCUUUAUCUGUACAUAUUGAACCUGCAUCCUUUAAGGACGCUUCACAAGACAGCAGAUGGAUUGAAGCAAUACAACAGGAAAUCAAUACUCUUGAAGAAAAUCACACAUAGGACAUUGUAGACUUGCCAUCAAGUAAACAAGCUAUUAAUUCUUAAUGGGUAUACAAAAUUAAAUAUAAGGCCAAUGGAGAGAUUGAUAAAUUCAAGGCAAGAUUAGUAGCAAAAGGCAAUAAACAAAAGGAAGGAUUGGACUAUCAUGAUACAUUCUUCCCAGUUGCCAAAAUGGUUACUAUGAGAACUGCAUUAAGCAUAGCUGGUUCAAAAGGAUGUCCUCUAUUCCAAAUGGAUGUUAACAAUGCACUCCUGCAAGGAGACCUCUAUGAAGAGGUUUACAUGCAUUUACCUCAGGGAUUUCACAAACAGUGGGAGAAGAAAGUAUGUCGGUUAGUGAAGUCACUCUAUGGUCUCAAGCAAGCUUCAAGAUAGAGGAAUAUAAAGCUCACCAAUGCCUUAACUUAUGGGGGUUUUAAACAGAGUACAUACGAUCACUCAUUAUUCACAAAGAAUCAAGGCCAGAGUAUGGUAAUUGUACUAGUCUAUGUGGAUGACUUGCUAAUUAUAGGGAACUGUUCAAGGCUAGUAGAAGAUGCUAAGCUCACACUACAACAAGUUCAAAAUGAAAGACUUGGGGGAGUUGAGAUAUUUCCUAGGUCUAGAAGUGAUGAGAUCCAAGGAAGGUAUCCUACUCAACCAGAGGAAAUAUGCCUUGGAAUUAAUUUUUGAAGUGGGACAGUAGUGCUAAACCUGUGAGCACACCAUUAGAACAAAAUCACAAGUUGACGACUGUUGACUAUGACAAACAUGUGGGAAAGUUAGAUGAUCCUAAAUUAGAAGACACAGUCAGCUAUCAAAAACUUGUUGGGAAGCUGUUUUACUUGAUCAUCACCAGGCCUGACAUCAGCUUUGUUGUGCAAACCUUGUGUUAGUUCAUGCAACAACCCAAACAAUCACAUAUGGAUGCAGCCAUGCGAGUGAUCAGAUACAUAAAAGGAACUCCUAGAUUGGGGAUUCUUUUUAAGAAAUGGGUAGUAGACAUUUCUAUCAAAUUUUCACGGACGACCUAACAAGAUGUGACAAGCUUGCAUAGGAACCACAUCACAAAGAACAUCAUCCACAUACCUACCAACAUUUAAGAAAAUCAUGCAUUGUUUGUUGAAUUUCAGUUCACCACUAUCAUUCAACCAUUGAAGUCUAUAUGGCUUAGGGUAUUUCAUGCAUGCAAGCUCUAACAUGUUCACCAAGUGUGAACUCACCACAUUAGCAUAAAUACCACUAUCAAUAAUCAUAGAACAAGUUUUCCCUUUUAUUCCACACCUAGUAUGAAAUAUAUUCUCCCUUUAUUCUUCACUAUUUAUUCCUAAAUUAAUAGUCAUAAUCCUCCUAACUACCCCAACCAAACCAUCAUUAAAAGAAAACUCUACAUCGUCUUCACUCACAAUGAUUCAGAUUGGGCAUCUUGUCACAAUACGAGAAGGUCUGUGACAGGUUUUGUGGUAAAGCUAGGGAAUUCUUUGAUUUCGUGGAAGUCCAAGAAGCAACAAACCAUCAGCCGAAGCUCUGCUGAAGCUGAAUACAAGAGUAUGUCUGCUAUGGUGUCAGAGAUUACAUGGUUAACUGGUUUGUUGGCAGACUUGGGGGUCUCAGUUUAUAUACCAGUGCAGCUAUUUUCAAAGAGUAGAGCAGCUAUACAAAUUGCCAGUAAUCCCAUUUUUCAUGAGAGAACGAAACACAUCGAGAUUGAUUGCUAUUAUGUCAGAGACGAAAUUAAAUCUGGGCUCAUUGUGCCACACUUUGUUCCUUCCUCCAUGUAGCUGGCCGACUUGCUUACAAAGGGGAUUGGCAGUGUUCAACAUACACGACUCGUACCCGAUUCUCUUUUUCAGUUAAUAAGAUUUCUCCUCCCUCUCUCCCCUUCCUCUCUCUAGAAUCUUCUCUGCAAUUCAUUCUAGGUCACGAGCUGAUGCACAGUCUGCUCAAUUCUUCACCUUGUCCUCUUGAUUUCGAGAAAGGAAAGGUUGAUAUUUAUCGUAAAGAUUUGCUCCUAGUAACUCCUCGCCAGUUUUUCUGAUUGUGUCAAAAUUACUAAAAAUCUGCAAAUAACAAAGAUGUUCAUAG
rnacentral:lncRNA from 1 species